UUUGACAUAUGACUUACGAUGUUUCCGAAUUUAUUUGGUGGUGUGGUGGGUUUCUGGUGUUAAUAACCACCAAAGGUACUGAUUAAGGUUCUCAAGGAAAUACAAAGUUGUGUCCCAUAAGUGAACCAAAUCCAACAUCAUUUGGAGAAAAACACCACUGCUCCAUCCACAUCAAUCCUGCCUCCAACACUUGAAGACUGUUUAUAGAACCUUUCCAUAUCACUGCAGCAGAGGCUCCCAAAAAGUUGUCAUGAAAGUGGAUGCAAUGAAUUUUUGCGGUAUUUUAACCUCUCCAACUAAGAGAUCUUUGGAAAAAAAGUUUUAGAGGUUUCUGUUGGAGGAGACCUA